GAGGAACGAGAGGGCACACACCGAACUCACGCUCGCGGAGUACCGAUUGGGAUCUCGAGCCGACGGAGCAGCUGUAGUACUUAUUAGUGUCCAGGCAGAGGACUGUUAAUCAAGAGAAAAAGCGAAUAAAAAAAAAAUUAAAAAAACAAAUUGCGAUGGUCAGCGAUCCUACAGCGAAUAUAUGAAAAUAAGUGAAACUUUCAUCAUCAUAACUUCAUAAAACAUUUGAACCUUCGAGAAAAAAAGACAUCGAUACACAGACUUACGACAUGCCAUCGUUACGAUCUACUUUCAUAUUUAUAUUACGUUCCACUACUCUGAGCGAUGAUAACGUCGAUAUACAGCGGACGAGAUCAUCUCUCAACGGAAAAAAUGAGGUGCAUCGAUGGAAGAAGGAAGAAUAGAGGCGGCGGGACAAAUAAGCCAUGCUCACU